UACAAAAGGAACUAGCGUUGCUCGGAAUCACUGAACAUAAAGGGUGCGUAGGCGGGUCUUUAAGUCAGGAGUGAAAUCCUAGAGCUCAACUCCAGAACUGCCUUUGAUACUGAAGAUCUUGAGUUCGGGAGAGGUGAGUGGAACUGCGAGUGUAGAGGUGAAAUUCGUAGAUAUUCGCAAGAACACCAGUGGCGAAGGCGGCUCACUGGCCCGAUACUGACGCUGAGGCACGAAAGCGUGGGGAGCAAACAGG
rnacentral:rRNA from 1 species